UAGCUACAGGCUUAACACAUGCAAGUCGAGGGGCAGCAUGGUCUUAGCUUGCUAAGACUGAUGGCGACCGGCGCACGGGUGAGUAACACGUAUCCAACCUGCCGUCUACUCUUGGACAGCCUUCUGAAAGGAAGAUUAAUACAAGAUGGCAUCAUGAGUCCACAUGUUCACAUGAUUAAAGGUAUUCCGGUAGACGAUGGGGAUGCGUUCCAUUAGAUAGUAGGCGGGGUAACGGCCCACCUAGUCUUCGAUGGAUAGGGGUUCUGAGAGGAAGGUCCCCCACAUUGGAACUGAGACACGGUCCAAACUCCUACGGGAGGCAGCAGUGAGGAAUAUUGGUCAAUGGGCGAGAGCCUGAACCAGCCAAGUAGCGUGAAGGAUGACUGCCCUAUGGGUUGUAAACUUCUUUUAUAAAGGAAUAAAGUCGGGUAUGCAUACCCGUUUGCAUGUACUUUAUGAAUAAGGAUCGGCUAACUCCGUGCCAGCAGCCGCGGUAAUACGGAGGAUCCGAGCGUUAUCCGGAUUUAUUGGGUUUAAAGGGAGCGUAGAUGGAUGUUUAAGUCAGUUGUGAAAGUUUGCGGCUCAACCGUAAAAUUGCAGUUGAUACUGGAUAUCUUGAGUGCAGUUGAGGCAGGCGGAAUUCGUGGUGUAGCGGUGAAAUGCUUAGAUAUCACGAAGAACUCCGAUUGCGAAGGCAGCCUGCUAAGCUGCAACUGACAUUGAGGCUCGAAAGUGUGGGUAUCAAACAGGAUUAGAUACCCUGGUAGUCCACACGGUAAACGAUGAAUACUCGCUGUUUGCGAUAUACGGCAAGCGGCCAAGCGAAAGCGUUAAGUAUUCCACCUGGGGAGUACGCCGGCAACGGUGAAACUCAAAGGAAUUGACGGGGGCCCGCACAAGCGGAGGAGCAUGUGGUUUAAUUCGAUGAUACGCGAGGAACCUUACCCGGGCUUAAAUUGCAGAUGAAUUACGGUGAAAGCCGUAAGCCGCAAGGCAUCUGUGAAGGUGCUGCAUGGUUGUCGUCAGCUCGUGCCGUGAGGUGUCGGCUUAAGUGCCAUAACGAGCGCAACCCUUGUUGUCAGUUACUAACAGGUUCCGCUGAGGACUCUGACAAGACUGCCAUCGUAAGAUGUGAGGAAGGUGGGGAUGACGUCAAAUCAGCACGGCCCUUACGUCCGGGGCUACACACGUGUUACAAUGGGGGGUACAGAGGGCCGCUACCACGCGAGUGGAUGCCAAUCCCCAAAACCUCUCUCAGUUCGGACUGGAGUCUGCAACCCGACUCCACGAAGCUGGAUUCGCUAGUAACCGCGCAUCAGCCACGGCGCGGUGAAUACGUUCCCGGGCCUUGUACACACCGCCCGUCAAGCCAUGGGAGCCGGGGGUACCUGAAGUGCGUAACCGCGAGGAGCGCCCUAGGGUAAAACUGGUGACUGGGGCUAAGUCAUAA
rnacentral:rRNA from 1 species